ACAUGUAAUAUUUUUUUUAAAAUCAUGUAACUUUAUUUUCAUUUUAUAUUUAAUAUCCUUAAUUUCUCUACCUCCAUUCGAUCUCAAAUCUGAAAACUAUGACCAGGAACCAUUCGUUGUUCAUCGCUCUCACCACCAGAAAUCUGCAACUCUCACCGCCACCGGCGCCUUCGCCGCCGCCGCCGCCAUCUGCCCUCCAUUUCUCCCCUCCCCGAAAUUCCGCCAUCUGCCACCUCCUUUCGAAUAAAUCUGGAAAACCAUGACCAAUCGCCCCCACCACCAAAACUCUGCAACUCUCAUCGCCAUCGCCGGGCUGGUCACCGCCUUCACCGCCGCCGCCGCCGCCGCCAUCUGCCCUCCAUUUCCCACCCUCCCCACGAUUCCGCGAUCUGCCACCUCCUUCCGAAUAAAUUUGAAAAACCAUGACCAGUCGCCGCCCCCACCACCAGAAAUCGAUCUGCCACCUCCCUUCCCCACCGUGGUUCGCCGCGCCGGAACCCUCCGCUAUCUGCCGUGAUUCUUCCUAUACAGCCAUGAUUUUUAGCUAUAAAUUCCACGAAUCAUUCAGAAAUUGGUGGCGGCUCCUUCCGAUUUCAUUAUGUUUUUACAGCCAACGCAAGCGCCAAUAUUUCUCAUUCUUUUUGCCUUUCCUUUCUGUUACAAUUGCAAAUACUGAAAAUGAUAAUAUCUCAAAGGACUAUCUACAAGAUCUUUUUGGCCGUUUUCUCUUUGGUUUUGCUGGGGGCAAUGAAAUGCAGGACGACCCCUAAGAUGAAAAAUAUUAGAUUUAUGAUCAAGAUAGCGAUGCGACUUCUCCAAUGAUGAGGAUUAGUGAAUUAUCGAACGAGAUGGGGCUUCUUAUGGCCUUUGCUCAUCUCAGAAAUGAUGGCAGUCGGCGGGUUAUGGCUCACUGAGACUGAGCAAAACCACCCUGCUUCGUGAGGGUUAGGCUGACGUUGAGAGGAAUUUGUGCCUUGCUGUCAACUUAUAUAUUAUUCGACAGGCUCUUUCAUGAGACAUUAGAGUAAAUGGGUGAGGAUGAGGAAUACCAUUUUUGGUGAUUGGUAAAAGGAUGUCGACGCCGAGAAGCAUCAGCGCCCCUACCUCUCAAGCCUCAGCGGGUAUCCGACGGAUAGUGGGUGACGGGUACGACGGGUAGCGGGUGUCCUCUUUAAUUUAAAUUUUUCAUUUUAGUUUGAUAUGUAACGUAGACCUAUAUCAUGUUAACACUUAAUUUACUGAAUAAUAUUCAUCA